GUCCACGCCGUAAACGAUGUCGAUUUGGAGGCUGUGUCCUUGAGACGUGGCUUCCGGAGCUAACGCGUUAAAUCGACCGCCUGGGGAGUACGGCCGCAAGGUUAAAACUCAAAUGAAUUGACGGGGGCCCGCACAAGCGGUGGAGCAUGUGGUUUAAUUCGAUGCAACGCGAAGAACCUUACCUGGCCUUGACAUGUCUGGAAUCCUGUAGAGAUACGGCAGUGCCUUCGGGAAUCAGAACACAGGUGCUGCAUGGCUGUCGU
rnacentral:rRNA from 1 species